AGAAUCAUCACAUUCGCAAAAAAAAUCUGAAAGGCAUGGACAAUACCACAAACAUUCUAUGGAACAAAUUCAAAGACUUGAUGCAUUCUUCAAGAAAUGCCCGCAUCCAGAUGAGGAUCAACAAAAACAAUUGGGUAGCGAAGCAGGGCUUCACCAUAAGCAGUCAAGCUUUGGUUCCAAAACAGAAGGGCUCAAGCAAAGGAUGAAAAAGUAUCAAAUAUCAUCUCACAUGUUUUUGGAAGACCUUUUGUGAUGGAUUCAAAUUUGGCACCACAAAUAUCGACUCUUGGAUCACCUUCAAAUUCAUCUGAUGGAAGUUUGUUGAACAAAGACACAUGCGGAUCUCCCAUUAGAUAUCCUCCUCUUCGUCAAGAAAACAAUCAAAAUACUAAUAAUGUUCAUGCACAUUCAAUGAUCUCUCAAUCACCACAAGAACAUGAUGAAUGUAAUCAGCAUAGUAGGCAGCAAAAAAUUAUGUUUGAGACUGUUGUUGCUUCUAUGAAUGAAAUGGUUGAACUUUGGAAGAUGAAUGAUCCUUUUUGGGUAGAUUCAUCAAGUGAUAGGCGG